ensembl:lncRNA
AUGUACUUUCUUAUUUCUGUAUUUCCACUUUUAGAAACGUCUCCUGUCAUUAAUGGACACAGCACCAAACGGCAACGAGUGGAAAGUGAGGACAACACAGAUGAUGGGGAGAGUCAGAAUGAAAGUGUGAAUGGGGAGUCGGACGAGGAUCUCAUUGUCAGGCGGAAGUCCACCAGGAAGACCGCAAAAGCUGCUGUCAGUAAAAUAAAAAAAUUGAAUGACACGGAUGCUGAAGAAGAAAAUUGCUCCAGAGACCGCCGUCAGAAAAAUCGGCCAAGCAAGCAGGAUUCUGAAAAGAGUUCUGAGGAGUAUGAUGAGGUGCCCAGAACUCAAAAGCACCCAUAUCAAAACGGGAGGAAGGUGGAUCCAAAAGAGCUGAAGAGGAGUAAAGCACCAUCAGAAAGCCAAGAACAGGCUCCUGCCACAAAACAGCAAGUUACCCUCAAAAAAACCUCAGUCACAGAUGCAUUAACGUCAACCACCCAGGAUUCAGAGGAGCCCAGUGAUGUUUCAGAAAAACCUGUUCCUCACAGGAAGAGAAUUAAAUCAGAAGACAAAGAGAAUCAAAGUGAUGGUGAAGAAAGAAGGUCGCUCAGAAACCGAAAGUGUGUGUCCAACGCUCGCAAAAAGAAGCUUGAGGUAAGGUCAGAUGCCUCCAGUUCGGAAAGUGAAGACGGAGACCGAAGACGGAGGAAAAAGGAAGAUACUUCCUCUGAUGAAUGGCAAAAGAGCGACGCAUCAGAGGAAGACAAGAAGGCACAUCUGAGGAGGAAGCCUUGCCUUGCAGUUGCAUCCAAAGGAAUCUCUCUUAGAAUUCUUCCCAAGAAGAGCUACAUUAUGGAGGACUCGGAUGAAGAAUUCAGUCCCGAGAUGGAGAUGCAGUCGAAGAAUGGAAAGAGCAAGGAGCGGGCCAACUCCAGGGCAAGAAAACCACCAGGCGGUAACUCCAAAAGAAAACGUGGUGGCUCCUCAGAGUCUGAAGACACAGACAACAAAAGUAGUAGGACAAGUGAUGGAAAUGAGUGCAUGAAACCUCAAAGAAAGAAUGCAAAACCCUACAAGCGCUUGAGAGGCUCAAUGGACUCUGAGAGUGACUCUGAAACUAGGUGCAAACCGGUGAAUGGUCGGGAGCAAUGGUCUCAGGAGAAGCUUCCCAAAGCGACCCGGCAACGACGGAAGCAAAGUGAAAGCGAGGAAGGAAGCAAUGACGGUGCCAGCGAUGAUGACGGAAGCCACUCUGAAAGCGAAGAGUCUGGGGAGUCUGAAUCAGAAGCCAGCUCAGGUUCACAGAGCAGUCCAAAGAGAAGGCUAAGAAAUCGUGAAAGAGGAACGGCAUGCUCCAGGAAACAUCAGAGGGGUGUUUCCGAUGAGGAUAGCGACGUGUCAUAUGGGAAACCUCGAAGAGCCACGCGCAUCCGGACCAGAAAUGGAGGAAAGCGGACUGUGAAUUACCAAGACAGCGAAUGA